AUGGGGUGUCCCAUUUUAUCCGUUUGGGUCAUCCAGACACAAAACUUGGCCCAACGGAACGACCCAAACGGACGCGGGUGUCCGCUUGCUGUACGUCCCCGACCCAAACUUGGCCCAAAUCUGGAAACAAAUGGGUACGAAGGGACGCUCUGCUCGACCGCUGUCGUCCGCUCGUGUCCGCCCCUGGUCCCACCUAGCAAUGAGCGCGCACGAGCUGGCGCUAGCCUCCACAACCACUGCGAGGAGGAGCGAGGCCACAUGCGUAGGCUGCCGCCGCGCUCGCCGGGGAGAUCUCCGCCACCGCGCUUGCCGCCCACCGCGACUUCCUGCUACUCCUCCUGGCGCUCACCGAGGAACUGUGGCGCCACCCGGCUGUGCUCGCCGUGA
rnacentral:rRNA from 1 species